rnacentral:rRNA from 1 species
AAAUUGAAGAGUUUGAUCAUGGCUCAGAUUGAACGCUGGCGGCAGGCCUAACACAUGCAAGUCGAACGGUAACAGGAAGCAGCUUGCUGCUUCGCUGACGAGUGGCGGACGGGUGAGUACUGUCUGGGAAACUGCCUGAUGGAGGGGGAUAACUACUGGAAACGGUAGCUAAUACCGCAUAACGUCGCAAGACCAAAGAGGGGGACCUUCGGGCCUCUUGCCAUCGGAUGUGCCCAGAUGGG